rnacentral:miRNA from 1 species
UCCUGUGCGAACGUCCAGAAG